rnacentral:rRNA from 1 species
GAUGAACGCUGGCGGCGUGCCUAAUACAUGCAAGUCGAGCGAACAGAUGAGGAGCUUGCUCCUCUGACGUUAGCGGCGGACGGGUGAGUAACACGUGGAUAACCUACCUAUAAGACUGGGAUAACUUCGGGAAACCGGAGCUACUACCGGAUAAUAUAUUGAACCGCAUGGUUCAAUAGUGAAAGACGGUUUUGCUGUCACUUAUAGAUGGAUCCGCGCCGCAUUAGCUAGUUGGUAAGGUAACGGCUUACCAAGGCAACGAUGCGUAGCCGACCUGAGAGGGGGAUCGGCCACACUGGAACUGAGACACGGUCCAGACUCCUACGGGAGGCAGCAGUAGGGAAUCUUCCACAAUGGGCGAAAGCCUGACGGAGCAACGCCGCGUGAGUGAUGAAGGUCUUCGGAUCGUAAAACUCUGUUAUUAGGAAAGAACAAAUGUGUAAGUAACUAUGCACGUCUUGACGGUACCUAAUCAGAAAGCCACGGCUAACUACGUG